rnacentral:rRNA from 1 species
GACGAACCGUGCGAACGUUGUUCGGAUUCACUGGGCGUAAAGCGCACGUAGGCGGAUUGCUAAGUCAGGGGUGAAAUCCUGGAGCUCAACUCCAGAACUGCCUUUGAUACUGGCGAUCUCGAGUCCGGGAGAGGUGAGUGGAACUGCGAGUGUAGAGGUGGAAUUCGUAGAUAUUAGGAAGAACACCAGUGGCGAAGGCGGCUCACUGGUCCGGUACUGACGCUGAGGU